ACUACAAGCCCGCCCUUUCCUACGUCUGGUCCAGUCGGUCUUCCUCCGGCCCGGGCCCUGGCCCAGCUAGCCGGCCAUGGAAGGUAAUGGCCCCGCUGCUGUCCACUACCAGCCGGCCAGCCCCCCGCGGGACGCCUGCGUCUACAGCAGCUGCUACUGUGAAGAAAAUAUUUGGAAGCUCUGUGAAUACAUCAAAAACCAUGACCAGUAUCCUUUAGAAGAAUGUUAUGCUGUCUUCAUAUCUAAUGAGAGGAAGAUGAUACCUAUCUGGAAACAACAGGCGAGACCUGGAGAUGGACCUGUGAUCUGGGAUUACCAUGUUGUUUUGCUUCAUGUUUCAAGUGGAGGACAGAACUUCAUUUAUGAUCUCGAUACUGUCUUGCCAUUUCCCUGCCUCUUUGACACUUAUGUAGAAGAUGCCUUUAAGUCUGAUGAUGACAUUCACCCACAGUUUAGGAGGAAAUUUAGAGUGAUCCGUGCAGAUUCAUAUUUGAAGAACUUUGCUUCUGACCGAUCUCACAUGAAAGACUCCAGUGGGAAUUGGAGAGAGCCUCCGCCGCCAUAUCCCUGCAUUGAGACUGGAGAUUCCAAAAUGAACCUGAACGAUUUCAUCAGUAUGGAUCCCAAGGUAGGAUGGGGCGCCGUCUACACACUAUCCGAAUUUACACAUCGGUUUGGCAGUAAAAACUGCUGAACUUGGUCUCAAGAUGUGGAACUGUGGAGAAAUUCUAGGACAUGAACAAGCUAUCCUUUCAUCGAGGACAGCAAACAUUAUGAUGAAAUGGUGAUGACUGGAGUGACCUCGGAAGCUACUUAUCAAAGGCAGAAGAGCCACCAUCAGCCUGGAUUCCUGAUAACUCUAUGGAGCCGAGUUGCAUGCCUGCCUAAAUAGUAUAUUGUGGAACUCUUUCAUAGGAGACAAACUUAUGUAUUUUUUAAGUCACAGAAUUCUUGUUUGUCAUUCUGCAUGAAAGUCAUUUUAAAUCCUGUCCAAGAGGACCCUCUGGGAGGGUGAGAGGAAGCCAAAGAGUGAAGUCUGAGUGGACGGGAUUGCCAGAGAACCAGGGGCUGAGGGCAAUAGCAGCUGGAAUGGAAUGCUUCUCCCUUGUUCUGAGAAUUACAACUGGAGAGGUUCCCAGAGAUGGGAAUCACCAAAGAUCCCAAGAAAAGUGCCCCAAGUGAGAGGCAGCUUUAUAUAGCUGCAAAGCCCAGUGAGCAGGAAGUCAGCUUACAACUGUGCCACUCAGAAGCCAAUUAAAGUAGCUCCAGACAUAACCACUUACCUCUUUGCCGUCUGUCCAUUUGGGCAUGGGAUCCAAGCCAGUAGCUAGUGAGUGGAGGAGGAUUAUGGCGCAUGGUGCAAGACAGAAGAAAAUGACUACUUUCCCCUCACCUCCCUGGGAACUGCCAGCUCUCGCAAAGAAGGGGAAGAAAUCUUUUGAGUGAAAAUGGAAUUGUUGAUGAAUAGAAUGAACUGACUCACUGAAUUACUCUAGUAAGACCAUGUUUGUGACUUGAUGUGACCAUCAGACUGUCAUUACUUGAAAGUGACACAGCAGGCAGGAGCCUGCAAUUGUUUUCAUCUGGAGUGAGGACAAGAUUCUUUUCUCCUGCUGCCCCUCCUCCCUUUUCCCCCCUGGCAAACUGUAUACAUGGAUGUGCAAAUAUCUCUUUGAGAUCUUGUUUUCAGUUCUUUUGGAUAUAUACCAAGGAAUGGGAUUGCUGGUCAUAUAAUUGCUGGUAAUUCUAGUUUUAAUUUUUUGAGGAACCUCCAUUCUGUUUUCCAUGGGCGAUACCAUUUUACAGUAAAGGGAUGAUGGAAGAAAAACAAUAAAGUGGCAUUUUGAUUAUGUUACCCUAUCAGUUACAUAAAUAACUUGGAAAUAAACAUCUUCUAUAUAUAAGUUCUUUUUUUAAUAGUAUAAUUUUCCUUAGAGCAAAUUCCUGAGCAUGGUAUUAAUAGGUCAAAGGACCAGGAAAUGUUUGUGGUUCUUGAAACAUAUUCCAAAUUGCUUUUCUUUCUUUCUUUUUCCUUUUUUUUUUUUCUCAGUCUGUUGUCCAGGCUGGAGUGCAGUUGCGUGAUCCCGGCUCACUGCAAGCUCCGCCUCCUGGGUUCAAGUGAUCCUCAGCCUCCCUCAGCUGGAACUACAGGCAUGCACCACCAUGCCCGGCUAAUUUUUGUAUUUUUAGUGAGAUGGGGUUCCGCCAUGUUGGUGAAGCUAGUGUUGAACUCCUGGCCUCAAGUGAUCGACCUGCCUUGGCCUCCUAAACUGCUGGGAUUACAGGAAUGAGCCACUGCGCCCGGCCGCCAAAUUGCUUUUCUAAAUGUUUGUGCCAACUUACAUUCCCACCAGAUAUUGUAUGAAGGUUUUAUCACAUAUUCAAUGGCAUGAGAUAGUGUUAUGAGAUUGUUAAUGUAAUGGGAUUUAAGUACCAUUUUGAUGUUUGAAAUAAUUUUUAAAGUGUUUUCAUAAAAUAAUUCUUGCAUUAAGUGUUUUAUCAAUGUCUUUAAGCUUGGCUUUAGUAUCUUGAGUAUAGAAUGUAGCUGAGGGUCUGAUUUCAUAAAUUAAUUACUGGCCAUUCAUAUCCAGGUUCCAGAGGGUUCCUUGGAGCAGUUAGAACCAGACCAAAUCCUGUAGAAUUGUGAGCAAGGAAGAAAGGGAGAGGCAAGGGCCAGAGGAGCAGUGAAUAUGAGAGACAGGUUCAAGGUAUCUAUUUUUAUUUUAUUUGUUUAUUUAGAGAUGGAGUUUUGCUCUUGUUGCCCAGGCUGAAGUGCAAUGGCACGGUCUCGGCUCACUGCAACCUCUGCCUCCCGGGUUCAAGCGAUUCUCCUGCCUCAGCCUCCCAAGUAGCUAGGGUCACAGGCGCCAGCCACCACUCCCCGCUAAUUUUGUAUUUUUAGUAGAGACAGGGUUUGCCAUGUUGGUCAGGCUGGUCUCGAACUCCUGACCUCAAGUGAUCCACCCGCCUUCACCUCCCAAAGUGCUGGAGGUUCAGGAUCUCUAAAUGAGAGGUAAACAAACUGAAGCAGGAGGCCAGAUCAAGGAGAUGCCCACCAUGAUGUCAGGAGGUGAGUUGGGAAAGGGCCUCAGGAGAUAGGGAUUCUUGCGUGGCCCCCAAAGGGGGUAGUGGGGUAGGGAAUAAGCUUCCUCCUACCCUAAGCACCAAUAAAUUCAAAACUUUAUUUAUGUAUUUAUCUAUUUAUGGUAAAAAUAUAACAUAAAACUCACUAUCUUAAAGUGUACAGUAGUGUUAAGUAUAUUUGCAUCAUCAUGCCACAGAUCUCCAGAAGUUUUCAUCUUGCAAAUGGAAACUCUGUACUCAUCAAACAACUCCCCAUUUUCCUCUCUCCAUAUCCCCCCACUAACUGCCAUUCUACUUUCUGUUUCUAUCAGUUUAACUACUUUAGAUACCUCGUAUACGUGGAAUCAUAAAGCAUUUAUCUGCAUUAUUUUACUUAGCUUAAUGUCCUCCAGUUUCAUUCAUGUUAUAGUGUAUGAUAGGAUUUUCUUAUUUUGAAGGACUGAAUAAUAUUCCAUUGUAUGUAUAUAUCACAUUUGCUUUAUCAUUUUUUCCAUCACUGAACAUUUAGGUUCCAUCCACCUCUUGGCUAUUGUGAAUAAUACUGCAAGCGACAUAGAUGUGCAAAUAUCUCUGUGAGAUCUUGUUUUCAGUUCUUUUGGAUAUAUAUCAAGGAAUGGGAUUGCUGGUCAUAUAGUUGCUGGUAAUUCUAUUUUUAAUUUUUUGAGGAACCUCCAUUCUGUUUUCCAUGGGCUCUACCAUUUUACAUUCCACAAACAGUGCACAAGUGUUUUAAUUUCUUUAUGUCUUUACCAGCAAGCACUUGUUAUACAGUCUCCCUUCUUUCUUUUCAUAGUGGGCAUCCUAAUGGGAGUGAGGUGAUAUCUCCUUGUGGUUUUCAGUUGCAUUUUUCUGAUGAUUAGUAAUGCGAACAUCUUUUCAUGUGCUUGUUGGCCAUUUGUAUAUCACUUUUGGAGACAUGUCUGUUCAAGUACUUUGCCCGUUUUUUAAUUGGGUUAUUUGAUUUUUGUUGUUGAGUUGAGGGAAUUCUUUAUAUAUUCUAGAUAUUAGUCCCUUCUCAGAUGUAUUAUAUGAGCAUAUUUUCUUCAAUUCCAUAAGUUGCCUUUUCACUAUAUUGAUUGUAUCUUUUGGUGCACAAAAGUUUUUAAGUUUGAUAUAAUUCCAUUUGUCUACUUUUGCUUUUUGUUGCCUAUGCAUUUAGUGUCAUACCAAGAAAUCAUUGGAAAUAUGUUUUUUCAUUUGUUUAAGCCUGUAGGAGGAAAUACGGUUUGAGUGAACUUUAACAUCUUGGAAAAGUAAGCCUUGGUCAAGCUUACAGACAAGAGACUAGGCUGGUUAUUCAUCCUGUGAAACAGCCCUACAAAUUUACCUACACCAUGGAAUCCAAGAUCCCACUGAUAAUGUGAACUUACUCCUUUUUGUUUGUCUUCUCCCUUCUAAUGUUAAUUUUUUUAACUGCAGGAAAAAUAACAAAAUAACAGAAUUCUUCUUUUAUAAGAUAGAUUUGGGAGCAUGUACUGAUCUUUUGAGUGAGGUGGAGAGGUCAAAAUAAAAAUACUAAAAUGUGAAUAAAACUUUGAGACUUAGAUGGAGACCUAGUUAAACCUUUUCUUCAAAUGCCAUCAAUGCCAAAGAGCAGCAGUUGUUUUACUAAUUCAUUCACCAAAAGUGAUUAUCAAACGUCUACUAUGUUCUGGGCACUAACUAGCCAAGGCAAUAUAGGUGUGUAUAAGAGGCAAGUCUCUGCUGUCUGUGAGUCUAUGCAGAAUCUCGUCUUCCGUUAGAAGCAUCAACAAACAUGUAUUGCCUGCCCUCCCUCUGCUAGAAGUUUGGGGAGACAUGUUAUGGACUAAAUGUUUGUGUCCCCCAAAAUGUACAUGUUGAAGCCUUAACGCCCAAUGUGAUGGUAUUUGGAAGUGAGGCUUUUGGGAGGUAAUUAGAUAUAAAUGAGGUCAUGAAGGUGUGGUCCCCAUGAUGGGAUUAGUGGCCUUAUAAGAAAAGAGACAAGAGAGGUUCUUCUCUUUUUCUGCCACAUGAGGACACAGUAAGAAGGCAGCUAUCUACAAGCCAAGAAGAGGGUCCUCACUAGGAACUGAAGCCUGCUGGACCUUGAUUUUGAAAUUUCCAGGCUUCAGAGCUGGGAUUCCUGUGUUUAAGCCACCACCCAGUCUAUGGUAUUUUGUAUGGCAGCCGAAACAGACUAAUACAAGGCAUAAGGGACAGUGAGAUGCUGUUCAUCCUCUCAAGGGUUCGUGAACUUGUUACCGUGGCCUCCGCAGUCCCUGUGUUCACUUAUCUUUGCUAAGGGCAAAUCACUGAUGAGAUGGACGCAUUUUAUAACUGGAGAAUAAAAGGGAUGAGGCCCUACAGGCUGAGGGUUACAACCAGGUGUCUGAAGGAGUCAGUGUCCCAAAGAGUGAGAAUAGUGGAGUGUGUAAGUGGAGAAUAACCAGGUAGGUGCUUAAAAGUGAACCUGUGUUGACUGUAUUCACUUAUUUCAUAAGACAACUUUUGGAGGCCAGACACACCACCUUUAAAAAGUAAUUGUAUAAGUGUCCUAGUGCUGUGCAUGAAGUCCCAUAAACUGGGUGCUUUUUAAACACCCAGUUGUUUUUACAAUAGAAGUUUAUUUUCCCACAGUUCUGGAGGCUGGAAGUCCAAAAUCAAGGUGUCAUCAAGCCUAUGCUUCAUUUGAAAACUAGAGGGGAGAAUCCUUUCUUGCCUCUUUUAGCUUCUGGUGUUUGGUGGUAAUCCUUGGUGUUUCUUGGCUUGUAGAUGCUUCACUCCCAUCCCUGCCUCCAAAGUCAUAUCGUCAUCCUCUCCCUGUGUGUUUCUCCUUCCUUUUUUCUUUUUUUUUUUUCUUUUUUUGAGACAGGAUAGCACGCUGUUGCUCAGGCUGGAGUGCAGUGGCAUGAUCAUAGCUCACUGCAACCUUGACUUCCUGGGCUCAGGUGAUCCUCCUGCCUCAGCCUCCCAAGUAGCUGGGACUACAGGCAUGCACCACCAUGCCUGGCAAAUUAAAAAAAGAUUUUUUUUUUUUGGUAGAGACGGGGUCUUGUUAUGUUGCCCAGGCUGGUCUCGAACUGCUGGGCUCAAUCAGUCCUCCUGCCUUGGCCUCCCAAAGUGCUGAGAUUACUGGUGUGAGCCACCAUGCCUUGCCUCUGCUUCCUCUUAUAAGGACAUCAGUCAUACCAGGUUAAAGGCUCACUCUACUCCACUGUGACCUCAUCUCAAAUAAACUAAUUACAUCUGCAACAACAUGAUUUCCAAGUAAGGUCACAUUCUGUGGUACUGGGUAUUAGGACUUUGUUGUAGUCAGGGUUCUCCAGAGAAACAGAGCCAAUAGGAUGGUUCCGUCUCUAUAGAUAGAAAUAAAUUUAUUAUAAGGAGUUGGCUCACAUGAUUAUGGAGGCUGGAAAGUCCCAAGAUCUGCAUAGUGAAUCAACAAGCUGGAGACCCAGUGGUUUAGUUCCAGGCUAUGUCCAAAGACCUGAGAUCCAGGAGAGCUAAUGGUAUAGUUUCAGUCUGAAGUCCAGCAGGCUUGAGACCCAGGGAGAGCUGAUGUUUCAGUUCAAGUACAAAGACAGGAAAAAAUUAAUGUCCCAGCUCAAAGGCAGUCAAGGAGAAACUCUCUCUUACUCAAGGGAGAAUGAGCUUUUUAUUCUAUUUAGACCUUCAAUGAUUGGAUGAGGGCCACCCACAUUAGGGAGGGUAAUCUGGUUUACUCUGUCUACCAAUAUAAGUGUUACUCUCAUCCAAAAACACUCUCACACAAACCCCCAGGAUAAUGUUUGAUUAAAUAUCUGGGCACCCCAUGACCCAGUUAAGUUGACACGUAAAAUUAACCAUCACACUUUAAAAUAUCUUUUUGGGAAGCACAAUUCAACCCAUAAAAGUAAUAAUCAUGCCUAGAGAACUUUUUUAGUUGAAGAGAUAGAAAGUUUAAUUCAAAUCUGUACCUGUUGCUUUGUACUGUUAUUUGAUAGGGGUCUUACCCCACUCCUAUCCAUCAAGGCUGGCAGAGGCUAUUUUCCAGGAUUUUAGGGUUGCUGGCAGCUGGGCAGUGACUCAGGAGAGUUGUGAGUGGGGACAGAAAGGAAGGAAGUAUGCCAAACAGUGCUAAAAAAUAUCCAAAGCUAAGAAAUGUGUAAUUAGCCCUGACCUCCUUUGCCCUUCCUCCUUACUAAAGCAGAGUGGGUGAAAUGGCUCAUGGGUUAUUAAUUGCCCUCUGCUGGUCACUUUACAGGCAUGGCUUCCCAUUUGCUUACUUUAUUUUCUAGGGAUGUCAGCAAAUUACCACAAACUUGAUGACUUAAAGCAACAGUAAUAUAUUGUCUCAUAGUUCUGGAAGUUAGAAGUCUAAAAUCAAGGUGUCACAGGGUCCAUGCUCCAUCUGAAGUUGUCCAGGGACUGAAGUGUCCAAUCCUUCCUUGCCUAUCCCUAGUUUCUGGUGGUUCCUGGCAAUCCUGGUGUUCCUUGGCUUGCAGCUGGCUCCCCACAAUAUCUGCCUCCAUUUUACAUGGCCUUCCCUCUGUUUCUCUGUGUGCCCUCUCUUAUAAAAACAGCAGUCAUUGGAUUUAAGGUCCACCAUAAUCCAGCAUGACUUUAUUUUAAGUUAAUUACAUUUGCAGAAACCCUGUUUCCAAACAUGUCACAUUCUAAAGUUCUGGAUAGACAUGCAUUUUGAGGGAGAUGCUAUUCAACCCCCUAUACUAAAACUCUUUUUCUGUGGAAGAGAAAGAGGCAGGGAGAGUAACUUGUCCAGAUCACUGUUAAGUGGUUGAGCUGAGCUUUCAUGUGUACUCAUUAGCCAAAGUGUCUUCCUUCUUCCCCUCUGCCCUCUUCCCUCUUUCCUUUCAUCGCCUAUUUUCUUAUCCAAGGAUGCCCUGGAUAUUAGUUUACCUUCAUUUGAAUGGAGAAAAAUGCCCAUUGUUAACUGUUAACUGUUGGGGUGAGGGGAUGGGAAGGUGUUCAGUGGAAGGUCUCUCAAUCUCCUUGAGAGUUAGUUUACUUUUUUUGCAAAAAUGGAGAAAAUGAAACUUGUCUCAUUUGGUGGUUGCAUGUAUUAUUAAAUCACAUACAACCGAUCACAAAAUCAAUGUGUAAGAAAGUGUCUGGGAAAAUCUUCCAAGGCAUACAGCCCUGAGGGACUUUUGUAGAAAAUCAUUUAGAAAGUAAGGCAUCCAUUACUCACCUAGGGUAUUAAUUAAUUUGUAUUCUUGAAAUUCUUUUUUUUUUUUUUUGAGAUGGAGUCUUGCUCUGUUGCUUAGGCUGGAGUGCAGUGGCGCGAUCUUGGCUCACUGCAACUUCCGUGCCCUGGGCUCAACCAAUUCUCCUGCCUCAGCCUCCCAAGUAACUGGGACUACAGGCACAUGCCACCACACCUGGCUAAUUUUUGUAUUUUUAGUAGAGACGGUUUCACCAUGUUGCCUAGGCUGGUCUCGAACUCCUGACCUCAACUGAUCUGGCCUUGGCUUCCCAACGUGCUGGGAUUAUAGGCAUGAGCCACCAUGCCCGGCCUGUAUUUUUGAAUUUCUACAUUGUUGACAUGCCUUGAAGUCUUAGACGAUGAGCAAGAAACAGAAAUCAUGUAGCACAUAUAUUCAACAUUCCCACGUAAUUUUAGGUUUCUAUUUGGUCUCUUUCAAGCGGUAAGUAAUUUACUUUGAUCUUCUCUGCUAGGUUAUAACAAAAGUUGACAUUGUAGCUCUGCCACUCACUAGAAAUAUCAUCUUGUUUAUGUUAUUUAACUUUAUGACCUCUAAUUGUGAAGGUUAAAGGAAAGAGCACAUAUAAAAGCUCCUGGUACAUUAUGGUUAGUCAGGAAGUAAAAGUUUUUUUUUUAAAUUGCAUUGUUAUUAUUAUUACUGUUAUUAUUAAUAUCAUUGGUAUGCAAGACACUGAGUUAUACAUAUUUGACUUGUGAACAUAUUUGUUAUUUUAAAAAUUGAAAUAAUUUGUCUUAAAAAAGUUACAAAAAUAGUACAGACAAUUCCCAUAUAUUUCGUCACCCAGCUUCCCCUACUGUUUAACAUCUUACAUAAGCACAGUAUGAUGAUCAACACUGGGAAAUUAACAUUGCUACAAUACUAUUAAGUAAACUAUAGAUUUGACUUGAAUUUGCAGGUUUUCCCAUUAACGGUUUUUUCUGAUCCAGGAUCCAAACCUUGAUCUCCAAUUGAACUUAGUUAUGAGAAGGAGACAAACUUAGUCUUUUAUAACUUAGUUUUUCCUUGUCUUUCAUGAUUUUGACACUUCUGAGGAAAGCUGGUCAGUAACCUUGUAGAAUGCCCUCCAAUUUGGCUUUGUCUGUAUUUUCUCUGAUUAAAUUGAGAUAAUACAAUUUUGGCAAGAAUACCUCAGAAGUAAUGUUGUGUCCUUUCUCAUACACCAUAUCCAGAAGUACACAAUGCUAGUAUAUAUUAUUACUGGUGAAAUUAACAUUGAUCUCUGGGUUAAAGUGGUGUCUUCCAGGUUUCUCCACUAAAUUACCAUUUUUCCCUCAGUGACUAACAGAUAUCUUGGGGAAAUACUUUAAAACUACGCAAAUAUUGCCAGGCGUGGUGGCGUAUGCCUGUAAUCCUAGCACUGUGGGAGGCCAAGGUGGGCGGAUCACUUGAGGUCAGGAGUUCGAGACCAGCCUGGCCAACAUGGUGAAACCUUGUCUCUACCAAAAAGUGGUGGUGUGCGCCUAUAAUCCCAGCUACUUGGGAGGCUGAGGCAGGAGAAUAGCUUGAACCCAGGAGGAGGAGGUUGCAGUGAGCCGAGAUCCUGCCAUUGCACUCUAGCCUGGGGGAUAAGAGCAAAACUCUGUCUCAAAACAAAAACAAAAACAAAACUAUGCAAAUAUCCUGUUUCUUGUACCUUCACCCACUAGUUUUAGCAUCUAUGGAUGAUUCUUGCCUGCCACAAUUAUUACUAUGGCAUUUGCCUAUUAGUGAUUUUCUGUUUCCUUCAUUUCUUCUCUAUUAAUAGGAAUUCUUCUCUAAGAGAGAGUUAUUCUCCUCCCUCAUUUAUUUUUUUAUAUCAAUAUGGGCUGAUGAAUAUUUAUUUUAUUUUAUGGGUUAUAAUCGAACACUGUCAUUAUUUAUUUUGUUGCUCCAGUGGUUCCAGCUCUGGGCAUUAGGAGCUUAAACAGGUUGGCUCCUGUAUCCUUUCAACAUGCCUCAUUAUUUUUAGUGCUUUCUUGCUUUUUGAUGCUUACUUUUUAAUCUAGGCUCAUCUUGUACUUUCUUUGCCCCAACCAUGGAAUUGAUCUUUUCUCCAAAGAACUCUGAUUCCUUUUAUUGGAAAAUGGACUUAGGAACCAAGAUCUUGGCAUUGAGUAGUCUCAUUGCUACUGGGGUUUCAUUGCUUCUGCGUCCUCUCAGUGGACAGAGUUUGGAAAUAUAUGCAGGUAUGCUAACACACAUACAUAUGUUUAUAUUUGUAAAUUAUAAAAUUGUAUAAUUUUAAAUUUCUGUAUUAUAAAAUUAUACAUAUGUUAUAAAUCUAUGUUUAUUUCAACAUAUAUCUGUAUAACUAUUAAGGACCACAAUGAAUACAUUCAAAGGUAAAUGUGUGAAUAUCUCUAAGGCAUACUUCUACUUAUCUCCUAAUAAUAAAGAGAGUAGGUCCAUUACACUA